UGGGCCAGGCGACGGUUGUCCUGGUUCAAGUGCGUAGGCUUGAGAGUUAGGUAAAUCCGGCUCUCUCUAAGGCUGAGACACGACGUCGAGCUACUACGGUAGUGAAGUCAUUGAUGCCAUGCUUCCAGGAAAAGCCUCUAAGCUUCAGAUAGUCAGGAAUCGUACCCCAAACCGACACAGGUGGUCGGGUAGAGAAUACCAAGGCGCUUGAGAGAACUCGGGUGAAGGAACUAGGCAAAAUGGUACCGUAACUUCGGGAGAAGGUACGCUCUUGAUGGUGAAGUCCCUCGCGGAUGGAGCUGACGAGAGUCGCAGAUACCAGGUGGCUGCAACUGUUUAUUAAAAACACAGCACUGUGCAAAAUCGCAAGAUGACGUAUACGGUGUGACGCCUGCCCGGUGCCGGAAGGUUAAUUGAUGGGGUUAGCGCAAGCGAAGCUCUUGAUCGAAGCCCCGGUAAACGGCGGCCGUAACUAUAACGGUCCUAAGGUAGCGAAAUUCCUUGUCGGGUAAGUUCCGACCUGCACGAAUGGCGUAAUGAUGGCCACGCUGUCUCCACCCGAGACUCAGUGAAAUUGAAAUCGCUGUGAAGAUGCAGUGUACCCGCGGCUAGACGGAAAGACCCCGUGAACCUUUACUACAGCUUGGCACUGAACAUUGAACCUACAUGUGUAGGAUAGGUGGGAGGCUAUGAAGACGUGACGCCAGUUGCGUUGGAGCCGUCCUUGAAAUACCACCCUUGUAUGUUUGAUGUUCUAACUUAGACCCAUUAUCUGGGUUGAGGACAGUGCCUGGUGGGUAGUUUGACUGGGGCGGUCUCCUCCCAAAGAGUAACGGAGGAGCACGAAGGUGGGCUAAUCACGGUUGGACAUCGUGAGGUUAGUGCAAUGGCAUAAGCCCGCUUAACUGCGAGAAUGACGGUUCGAGCAGGUGCGAAAGCAGGUCAUAGUGAUCCGGUGGUUCUGUAUGGAAGGGCCAUCGCUCAACGGAUAAAAGGUACUCCGGGGAUAACAGGCUGAUACCGCCCAAGAGUUCAUAUCGACGGCGGUGUUUGGCACCUCGAUGUCGGCUCAUCACAUCCUGGGGCUGAAGUCGGUCCCAAGGGUAUGGCUGUUCGCCAUUUAAAGUGGUACGCGAGCUGGGUUUAGAACGUCGUGAGACAGUUCGGUCCCUAUCUGCCGUGGGCGUUGGAAGAUUGAAGGGGGCUGCUCCUAGUACGAGAGGACCGGAGUGGACGAACCUCUGGUGUUCGGGUUGUGUCGCCAGACGCAUUGCCCGGUAGCUAAGUUCGGAAUUGAUAAGCGCUGAAAGCAUCUAAGCGCGAAGCGAGCCCUGAGAUGAGUCUUCCCUGACAGUUUAACUGUCCUAAAGGGUUGUUCGAGACUAGAACGUUGAUAGGCAGGGUGUGUAAGCGUUGUGAGGCGUUGAGCUAACCUGUACUAAUUGCCCGUGAGGCUUAACCAUACAACACCCAAGGGGUUUUGUA
rnacentral:rRNA from 1 species